CUUCUUUUGGAGUUUCCUACUGUGAACCUAGGAUGUGGUCAAUAAAGAGAAGAAGAUUCCUUCAGGAAGCAGUGAAGCAUAGGUUUGAACUCUCUGAAAAUCUCUCCAUGAAAUCUCUGCUUUCAGUGUUGAUGUGGACGUGGGGAGGCAAGCCUAAUGCUAGCCUUUAUGUCUGCUUCUCAAGGCAUCAAACUGACUUUAACAAACUCUUCUGCUGUAGCACCAACAUCUGCCUCUGAUAUCAUGGGCCAAUGACAGCAGAGAAUAGCAGUCAAACAACUGCAAGACCCACUGGAUGAGAAUGGGAAUCAAGAGCACUUACUGUUUGCGAAGUGUCAGAGCAGAAAUUUUGAUAUCUACUAAAGGUAAAGAAAUACAUUUAGUUGUGGGGAAUGCAUUUGCUGUUAUAUAUUCUCAUAUUUCCACUUAUCUUCAAAGGAACUCUGAAACCUCAGUUCACUGCCACUUAGCUUCUGACUUGCUGUACACAAUUUCGGGUUCCUGUUUGUUUCUGUUUAAGCAUGUACUCAGGCAUUCCUCUGUACUGACACAACUGAAUCUUACUCUUUACAUGCCUGAGGCCUGUCUGUACACAAAGACUGAGUAUCUGAGGACCCUCAUUGUUAAAAAGUCUGAAAGCCUGGUCAAAUUUCCAGAGCAGUCUAACAUACUGCAAGAUUGUAAUACAGUUCCUUUAAAUAUGUAGAAAAAUAACCUUUUACAUCAAUGCCUUUUAAGCAGCAGUCUCAGAGAACAAACCUUGGCAGGUGUAUUCAUUAUGAACGGAAACCUUUGGAGGACUUGUAGUGGGAAGAGUUCAGUAUUCUUUAGUUCCUGGGUUCAGCAAGUCCUACGUAAAAGACUGCUGUCAGCCCGAUAGCCUGUUCAGACAUUGGUAAUUUGUGCAGCAUGUGUAGGAACAUUUUCAGCCACCCAGGGAAUUUCAGUCCAAGCUAAGAAGCAUGCAGGUAUCUUAAUUGCUUGGAUUCAUGAGUUGGAACAAUUUACACUGCACCAGUUGGCCAAAUUGCUAUUUUCUGCCUCUUCAUCAGGUGCACAGCUUACUGAAUUUCUUUCCAUAGUUUAAUUUCCAACAUCUUAAGAUAAAUCAUAACUCAUGUUGUGUAUGGUCCAGAAACACAUGCUUUAUUUCAAGCAUUUGACUAAACUAUCAUUACGCAACAAAACAGUUAAAUGUGUGUUCGUGUCCUCAAAGUUAGUGGGGAGGAGGGAAGAGGGGGGGGUUGAGAAUAGAUAAAAUAUGCACCUGAACGCUUUGUAAAAGCAAAGUUCCUGUUGUGUAGUCUAACCUGUGAGGUAAUUCUAUUUUGAUGAUAAAAGCAUAUAUUAUUAUUCUUAGGUGUAAAAUGUGUUGGUUUUUAGAAUCAAAAUGUAGUAACUAGUAUUGUCUUCACAGUGUUUAAAACGGAGAUGGAAGAAAAAACAAAUUUGUUCUUACUUGCAUAAAAAUAAAGCUAUCUUUGUGUUUACAAUGUCAGAUUUAGCUAAUCUAUAGUGAAGGUCUUAAAUAAUUCACAUAGAACUUUCAGCCUCUUAAAUAUAGGAUUUUUUAACUUUUUUUUAUUUACAAAUAAAAGAAUUAUCCCCAGUUUUCCCUCAACAAACAGAUGUGAAUUUGUGUAGUUUUGAUUUUUUUUGCAUGAAUUCAUAGUAUGGCAUCUGUUGUGCAAUAGCAUUUCUGUAUCAUUAACGUAUUUAAACAUCAGAUACUUAUAUACAAAAUGCAUAUACAUAAUAAUUGAAAUUCAACAUUGAUGAUUUAGCUGUAUGUUGGUACUCAUCAUUCACCUUCGAACUGA